CAACACGCAAGGUCCUUUUCACAUUUCAACACCCAAAAACACUUCCCAUUUUCUCUCUCUGGGUAUUUCUUUUUCUAAUCUUAUCUGAUAAUUUCUUAUUGGUGUAAUGCAAUGCAAAGAUAAAAUAAAGUUCUGGGUUUGAUUUAGUUUUUUUGAAAAAAAAAAAAUUCGUUUGCAAAUAUGAGAUUUUCCGAUGAGAAUUCGACGGCAGCUGCCGAAAGUGGUGGUGGUGAUGGUGGAGGAGAUAAGUGGGAUUCGUUAGGCUUCAUGGAGUUGCUCGGUAUUCAUCAAGAUUUCUUCGAAUCCUUUAUACAGCAGCCUGCUUUGAUCCUUUCACCACCAUUACUACAACUAGACACUGAACAGAAGCCUCAAGCUGGUCUCCAAUCGCAGCCGUAUUCCACCGUGUCGGAUUUUUCAGAGUGUUUAAACAACCCGCCGGCAACGCCGAACUCGUCUUCCAUCUCGUCUUUAUCGAAUGAAGCUGCGAAUAUUAAUGAAGAAAGUACUAACGCCGGUGAUGAUGAAGAACAAGACAAGACAAAGAAACGGUUAAAACACAAAGAGAAGAACCAAAAAAGCAAAAGGAACCCAGAUUUGCAUUCAUCACAAAGACUGAAAUUGAUCACUUAGAUGAUGGUUAUAGAUGGAGAAAAUAUGGCCAAAAAGCUGUCAAAAACAGCCCUUAUCCAAGAAGCUAUUAUCGUUGCACUAGUAGCGGAUGUGGUGUGAAGAAACGAGUCGAGAGAUCGUUCGAUGAUACGACGAUCAUUAUCACCACUUACGAAGGCAAACACACCCAUCCGUGUCCGGUGCCGCCUCGAGGAAGCGGUUUCGGUAAUAUCGGUUUGACCCCAUCAUUUAUGGUCCAUCAUCAGUACCAGGAUCAGCAACAACAAGAAGUAGAACAACCCUAUAUGUAUGCUUCAUUGUCUCCAUUGAAUCCAUGUUUUAGCCCUAAUGGUUCUUCUUCAGCUUCAUUAAUUAGAGACCAUGGGCUUCUUCAAGAUAUUGUGCUUCCAAUUAAGAUGAGGAACGAGGCUAAUGAACAAGUGUAGGGUAAAAAAAAGUUGGGGUUUUAGUUAAUAAUUAAUGGUAUGUAACUUUUUUUAACUUUGGGGAGAUUUAUUUUUUGAACAAAGAGAACCCACUUUUUGCCAUUAUUACAUGUAUAAUAUUUAUAUGCCUCCGGCUACCCUUUUGUAUUUGGUUUUUUUCUUGUAGUUACUUUUUGUAUUUAGAGAAUUUUCACUAAUGGUGUUUUUUUUUAA